rnacentral:rRNA from 1 species
UCCGUAGGGUGCAAGCGUUACUCGGAAUUACUGGGCGUAAAGCGUGCGCAGGCGGUUGUGCAAGACAGGUGUGAAAUCCCCGGGCUUAACCUGGGAACUGCACUUGUGACUGCACAGCUGGAGUACGGCAGAGGGGGAUGGAAUUCCGCGUGUAGCAGUGAAAUGCGUAGAUAUGCGGAGGAACACCGAUGGCGAAGGCAGUCCCCGGGGCCACUACUGACGCUGAGAAGCGAAAGCAUGGGGAGCGAACAGG